CGCCUCUGCCAACCAGACUGUAAGAAGAGAGAGAUGGGAGAUUAGGGUGGGUCCUGGCCACCUCAUCAGGGGAGAGAGCAUCAGUGGAGUACGGCCCUUAGAGACCUGGACUUGUCUUGGUCCUGAUAAUCUUCAUCCUCCCAUAGGGGAGAAGAGACUAAGAAACUGAGGCCCAGAGAAUGAAGCAACAGUUAAAAGAGCGAAGCACUUAACAAACUUCAAGUCCGUAGGUGCCUUUUCUCCGGCUAUCAGACUGCGGCUUUCUACCUGAGGUCCCAAUGAGCACUUAAAAAAAAG